rnacentral:misc_RNA from 1 species
GAAAUGCGAUAAGUAAUGUGAAUUGCAGAAUUCAGUGAAUCAUCGAAUCUUUGAACGCACAUUGCGCCCCCUGGUAUUCCGGGGGGCAUGCCUGUUCGAGCGUCAUUUCACCACUCAAGCCUCGCUUGGUAUGGGGCAACGCGGUCCGCCGCGUGCCUCAAAUCGACCGGCUGGGUCUUCUGUCCCCUAAGCGUUGUGGAAACUAUUCGCUAAAGGGUGCUCGGGAGGCUACGCCGUAAAACAACCCCAUUUCUAAGGUUGACCUCGGAUCAGGUAGGGAUACCCGCUGAACUUAAGC